UACGGGGGGAGCAAGCGUUGUUCGGAUUUACUGGGCGUAAAGGGCGCGUAGGCGGCCACCGCAAGUCAAUUGUGAAAUCUCCGGGCUUAACUCGGAAAGGUCAACUGAUACUGCGGGGCUAGAGUACAGAAGGGGCAACUGGAAUUCUCGGUGUAGCGGUGAAAUGCGUAGAUAUCGAGAGGAACACCUGCGGCGAAGGCGGGUUGCUGGGCUGAUACUGACGCUGAGGCGCGAAAGCCAGGGGAGCGAACGGG
rnacentral:rRNA from 1 species